UAAAAAUGCGUCUACACAACAAGAUAACCGUCAUUUUCAACCAGUUUGAAAUAUUGCUGUGAGUAAUUCUACAGUCAGGAGCAGACACAGCGAGCUGUUAGAUAAAGAGCUGCAGGCGACAGGCUGCUCACCUCCACCUUCUGAGCCAGAGUAUUGAGUGGCACUACAGCUAUCCAAGAUGUUUGCUGAGUUCAUCGCUUUACAAAUGUUGAACCUAUGCAACCAAUUCUACUGCGAGCUUGAGAGAUACACACCACAACUGAUUGCCCUGUACAGGCAGAAGGCCAAGAGAGCAGAGGCCCAGCAGAGAUCCUAAGGAUUUAUGACCUUCAGAACUGCCCUUUUCCAGUAAAGGACCUGACAGGAGAGCCCAUGAAUGAACUACAGAGUGAAGCAUGAAGCCAGGAGAGAAACCACGGUUGCCUUCUAGCUGUAAAUAACAUACAGGGACAAGCUACAGAAAGGUGAUGUUUAUGCUACUAAAAUGCUAACUAGCAUACUUUAACUUCACACAAUUACUGUGUCUUAGUUCGGAUACUUCCUUUAGUACACUUACAUGUAGUACUCUUUGUACACUAUGGGCCACAUUGAAGGUUUGUGUGAGUAAAGACGUGUGCAAACUUGGUAUCACAAGCAAAUUAACAUGUAAGCUGAUCUACUAACGGUGUGCAUGGAGAAUGACGUCUUCCAAAAGUGCAAGAUAACACCUGUUAUUCAUUUAUUACUUUUGCCUUAAUGAAUAUGCAAUUUGGGGCAU